rnacentral:rRNA from 1 species
GUGGGGAAUAUUGGACAAUGGGGGGAACCCUGAUCCAGCCAUGCCGCGUGUGUGAAGAAGGCCUUUUGGUUGUAAAGCACUUUAAGCGAGGAGGAGGCUACCGAGAUUAAUACUCUUGGAUAGUGGACGUUACUCGCAGAAUAAGCACCGGCUAACUCUGUGCCAGCAGCCGCGGUAAUACAGAGGGUGCAAGCGUUAAUCGGAUUUACUGGGCGUAAAGCGCGCGUAGGUGGCCAAUUAAGUCAAAUGUGAAAUCCCCGAGCUUAACUUGUGAAUUGCAUUCGAUACUGGUUGGCUAGAGUAUGGGAGAGGAUGGUAGAAUUCCAGGUGUAGCGGUGAAAUGCGUAGAGAUCUGGAGGAAUACCGAUGGCGAAGGCAGCCAUCUGGCCUAAUACUGACACUGAGGUGCGAAAGCAUGGGGAGCAAACAGGAUUAGAAACCCCUGUAGUCC